rnacentral:rRNA from 1 species
GGCUCAGAUGAAACGCUGGCGGCAUUGCUAAAACAUGCAAGUCGAACGCGAAAGGGGGCAACCCCAAGUAGAGUGGCGAAAGGGCGAGUAAUGCAUUCCUGACGUACCCCGGACUCGGGGAUAGCUCACCGAAAGGUGAAUUAAUACCCGAUGAUGCCGUUGGGCCGCGUGGUCCGACGUCCAAAGGCUUGCUGGUCUGGGAUCGGGGAAUGUCCUAUCAGGUAGUUGGUGAGGUAACGGCUCACCAAGCCGAAGACGGGUAGCGGGUGUGAGAGCACGGCCCGCCGCAUCGGGACUGAGACACUGCCCGGACUCCUACGGGAGGCUGCAGUAACGAAUAUUGGGCAAUGGGCGCAAGCCUGACCCAGCGAUGCCGCGUGGAGGACGAAGCCCUUCGGGGUGUAAACUCCUGUCAGGGUUUACCAACACAAUGAGGAAACCCAGAGGAAGAGACGGCUAACUCUGUGCCAGCAGCCGCGGUAAUUCAGAGGUCUCGAGCGUUAAUCGGAGUCACUGGGCUUAAAGGGUGCGUAGGCGGACCUGCAAGUGCUUUGUGAAAUCCCAUGGCUCAACCAUGGAAUGGCUUGGCAUACUGCGGGUCUUGAGGUCGGUAGGGGCAGCCGGAACUCUAGGUGGAGCGGUGAAAUGCGUAGAUAUCUAGAGGAACGCCGAAGGUGAAGACAGGCUGCUGGGCCGAUUCUGACGCUGAGGCACGAAAGCGUGGGGAGCAAACGGGAUUAGAUACCCCGGUAGUCCACGCCCUAAACGAUGUAGACUGGAUCGCGGAGGCUCUGACGCCGUCGUGGUCGAAGCAAAAGUGCUAAGUCUACCGCCUGGGGAGUACGGGUCGCAGGCUAAAACU